CUGGCUAGACGUUGAUCGCCUGUUUACACAACAUAGGCUUUAUCCUUAAACGGCCGCGUAUAAAAACGCGCAAAGGUAGCAAAAUCAUUUGUCCUCUAAAUAGGGACCAGUAUGAACGGCAACAUGAGAAAGAAACUGUCUCUCUAGGUUAGCCAAUGAACCUGACCUGCCUGUACAAAUGCAGACAUAAGAAAACAAGACAAAAAGACCCUGUGAAGCUUUAAAUGUAAAUCAACAAACUGAUCAACACAUUUUCGGUUGGGGCAACCAAAGAGAAAUAUAAACCUCAAAACAGUCACAUAGGCCAACAAGCCAACUGACAAAACAACAUAGACCCAGUAUUACUGAUCAAAGAACCAAGUUACUCCAGGGAUAACAGCGCUACAUUCUUGAAGAGUCCAUAUCAACAAGAAUACCUACGACCUCGAUGUUGGAUUAGGGUACCCAGAUGGCGCAAAAGUUAUCAACGGUUCGUUUGUUCAACGAUUAAAACCCCACGUGAUCUGAGUUCCAGACCGGAGAUCGCCUGUUGUAUAAAAACAUAAUUUAUGAUAGUACAGACGAGAGGGGGCCUGUCGAAAAAAAAAAAUAUUUUUGUUAGCUGUGGGCGGGGGACCCCCGCCCCCACCAUCAUUAUAU
rnacentral:rRNA from 1 species